UACGGGGGGAGCAAGCGUUGUUCGGAUUUACUGGGCGUAAAGGGCGCGUGGGCGGCCAGUGCAAGUCAGUUGUGAAAUCUCCGAGCUUAACUCGGAAAGGUCAACUGAAUACUGCUCGGCUAGAGUGCGGAAGGGGCAACUGGAAUUCUUGGUGUAGCGGUGAAAUGCGUAGAUAUCAAGAGGAACACCUGCGGCGAAGGCGGGUUGCUGGGCCGACACUGACGCUGAUGCGCGAAAGCUAGGGGAGCGAACGGG
rnacentral:rRNA from 1 species